rnacentral:rRNA from 1 species
GAAUUGUAAUUUGAAGAAGCGUUUUCCGCGUCUCGGUUGGCCCAAAUCCUUUGGGAUGAGGUAUCAUGGAGGGUGAGAAUCCCGUUCGGUUGACCUCAUGACGUUCUACGAUACGCUUUCUAAGAGUCGAGUUGUUUGGGAUUGCAGCUCAAAAUGGGAGGUAAAUUUCUCCUAAGGCUAAAUAUCGGCGAGAGACCGAUAGCGAACAAGUACCGUGAGGGAAAGAUGAAAAGAACUUUGAAAAGAGAGUAAAAUAGUACGUGAAAUUGUUGAAAGGGAAACGAUUGAAGUCAGUCGUACCGACGAGAAAUCAACUUAACGUGUGCGAACUUGUGGGCGUGCGUGAGUUUCGGCCUCGCUGUUUGCAUGUUUAGUGCGCUUUGGGUGUACUUUUUCGUAUGGUAGGCCAACGUCAGUUUCGAUUACUAUAAAAUGACCGGCGGAAUGUAGCUUCGAUCUCGGUUGAAGUGUUAUAGCCUCUGGUAGAUGUGGUGAUUGGGACUGAGGAUUGCAACGAAUAUCCUUUGGGCUAUCCGUCUGAUCUCUGAAAGUUGCUCAGGUGCCGAAAGCGUGCUU